rnacentral:tRNA from 1 species
AGAGUUAUAGCUCAGUGGGAGAGCACAUGCUUAGCAUGCACAAGGUCCUGGAUUCAAUCCCCAGUACCUCUA